rnacentral:lncRNA from 1 species
AACUUCAAAUCACUGCACGUCUGACUAUGAUUCCAUUCUUUCACUGUGAUUAAGAAGAAAAUGAUCUCUUUAUAUUCACAGGACUUUCAGAGCUUAAAUUUGUUGCUGCCAGAAUACAAGAAACUUUGUUGCUUUAGGAUAGAUUAUAGAACAGGACAUCCUAGUGCAAUGUUAUAAUCCUAGAAGUCUUUUUGCUUCUUCACUCUGUGCCAUCAGAGUUUCACUAGCAUACUUCUGAAGAAGCUCCAUCUUCUUCCUCCGUACAAGAGCUUCCUCAAUCUCCUGUUGAGAUGGCACUGGAACAUGUGCAAUAAAUUUCUGUUGGCCGUCUUCGCCUUCUUUUUCUUUGCCACCCUCCUCAUCAGACUCAUCAUCAACAGCGUAGAUAUUUUCUUCCUCUUCCUCCUCCUCCUCCCCUCUCGCAAGUCUUGCCUCCCUCUCCAUUUUCCAUUUUUCCACUGCUUCUGCUAUAACUUUCUUCUCAUGUUCUUGUUCCAGGGGCUCUAGAAUGCCAUCAUCUUCAUCCCUGUAGCCAUAGUAUUCUGCAUCAAUGGAUUUCAUCAGUUCCGCACGGGUUUUCCGGGGUGGUGGGAGGGGCUCCUUCUCAAAAAGUUCUCUAACUCCUGGUAAAUCCUUUGCAGCUCCAAAGUAUUUGUAACCUCUGUUCCCUGGAACUUCCUUCCCCUCGUGAUCUAACAUCCUCGGUCCAAUUCUAGCAUAAUCAGGACCUCCCAGCUCCCUUAUUCGGACUUCCCAGUGCCCUUUUUCCCUCAGAAGUUUGUUUAUUUCAUCAUUCAGGUCCCGAAUUCUGAAUUCACCCAAUCCAGCAUUUUGAAUCUGUGCCACUUUCUUGGAGAUUUCCCCAAUGAUCUGCCGUCUCCACUUCUCAGCUUUUGGCAAUUCAUUACACUCUGAUGCAAGGAAAGGUCUUCGUUCCUUAACUUUUCCUUCUUCAAGCUGAGCUUGAC